UACGGGGGGAGCAAGCGUUGUUCGGAUUUACUGGGCGUAAAGGGCGCGUAGGCGGUCAGCACAAGUCAGUUGUGAAAUCUCCGAGCUUAACUCGGAAAGGUCAACUGAUACUGUGCGACUAGAGUGCGGAAGGGGCAACUGGAAUUCUUGGUGUAGCGGUGAAAUGCGUAGAUAUCGAGAGGAACACCUGCGGCGAAGGCGGGUUGCUGGGCUGACACUGACGCUGAUGCGCGAAGGCUAGGGGAGCGAACGGG
rnacentral:rRNA from 1 species